GUAUUACGGUGACAGCACCUUUGCUAAAAUUGGAACAAGGCAGAGAUUAACAUGGCCUCAAUGCAAAGAUGACAUCCAAAUUCAUGAAGUGUUCCUAUUUUUU
ensembl:snRNA U6 U6 spliceosomal RNA